rnacentral:misc_RNA from 1 species
UCGACUUGGAUUUGAAACCUUUAAAUAAGAUGGAAACCUAUUAUGAAAAGGACAAGAAGAUACUGAACUCCUAUGUUCAGGCAGCGGAAACAAAACACAUGAAAGGCGACACUCUGGUUAUGGAGGCUUAAGAAAGUAUGAAGUGACAUUCAACUAGACUCUGGAGCAUUCUCACUUCACUUAAAAUUUUACUGCAACUGUAUGAAGAUGAGCAAGAUUGAUGCCUGGGCAUCGUUUCAGAUCGGGACCUGCAGCCAAGAUUGAAGGUUACAGGCGUGUUUAUGUUUUAAUUGGCCAAGAAGAAAAAAUAUGCGGAUGUGAUCCAAUAAAUUGGCAGCAGCGUACAGCUUUCCCAUGUCCUUGAUAAUGAGGUGCUAGGUCAUUGAAGGCAUCUGUGUGUAUAAGAACAGGACCUUCUUGGGACCUCUUCGGAAGUAUGUAAAACAAAACAAAGUCGUAAAGGGUGGCGGAACUAGGGUAACUUGUACUCACUCAGCUAACCCCCAAUGCCCGCUAAAGUGAUUUGAUAAACUAAUGGACUGUUCCACGC